AAAAAAAAUGGAUAAAAAAAAAAAAAAAUGGGGCCUAAAAAUGUACUUCAAAAAUGCCUACGACCCUGGGGUCCUAUUCAAAAUUAGGCUAACUACUAUAUUAUCUACUGUAGCUGGCCCCUUGAUUAUAUUACUGUUAAUUUUAACCUUUGGACCUUGUAUAUUCAACAAAUUAAUGCAAUUUAUGAAAGAAAAACUGUCUGUAAUCCAAACUAUGGUCCUCGCGCAGCAAUAUCAAGUACUCCCACAGCACCCUGAGCCAUCAGCUGAGCUAGUGCCGGACUCUGAGCAGGUAGAUCAAUGGAUAUAGGAUUAUAUCCCGGAUAAAGAAAAGGGGGGAAUGAAGGACCUCAAGGCCCCAGGCCCAACAUUAGGAAAUCCAGCCCCUGUGCCUUGAAGCUGCAGGAUGCUUUCUUACCCAGCCCCCAUGUCAAAACCCCACCAGUUGCACGUAGCAUUUCAAGUCUUGCACAAUGGCAACCACAAGAUGUUCCAUAUAGAUAACCCCGGGAGGGCCAAACUUGAGCAAA